AAAAGACUUAGUCCUAACCUUACGGUUGGCUUUUGCUAAAUAUAUACAUGCAAGUAUCCGCGCCCCAGUGUAAAUGCCCUCAACCACCUGUUUCAAAACUCAGGCCUUGAGGAGCGGGUAUCAGGCACACCCAAGUAGUAGCCCAAGACGCCUUGCCAAGCCACGCCCCCACGGGUAUUCAGCAGUAAUUAACAUUAAGCAAUGAGCGCAAGCUUGACUUAGUUAUAGCAACAGCCUAUUAGGGUUGGUAAAUCUUGUGCCAGCCACCGCGGUCACACAAGAAACCCAAGUCAACCGUCCCAUAGCCGGCGUAAAGAGUGGUAAGAUGUCUAUCCUACUUAACUAAGAUCAAAACGCAGCCAAGCUGUCAUAAGCGCAAGCUGCGCCUAAACACACCAUCAAGAUGAUCUUAGGACCAGCGAUUAAUUUGAACCCACGAAAGCCAGGGCCCAAACUGGGAUUAGAUACCCCACUAUGCCUGGCCCUAAAUCUCGAUACUUCUACUAUACCAAAGUAUCCGCCAGAGAACUACGAGCACAAACGCUUAAAACUCUAAGGACUUGGCGGUGCCCUAAACCCACCUAGAGGAGCCUGUUCUAUAAUCGAUAACCCACGAUUAACCCGACCAUCCCUUGCCAAUAACAGCCUACAUACCGCCGUCGCCAGCCCACCUCGAAUGAGAGUACAACAGUGGACAUAACAGCACCCCGCUAACACGACAGGUCAAGGUAUAGCCUAUGGGGUGGGAGUAAUGGGCUACAUUCCCUGUAUCCAGGGCAUACGGAAAGAAGCGUGAAACUACUUCUAGAAGGAGGAUUUAGCAGUAAAGUGGGGUUACAGAACCUACUUAAAGAUGGCCCUAGGGCACGUACAUACCGCCCGUCACCCUCCUCAUAAGCCGCAUCCACAAAUAACUAAUACCAUUCACGUGCCGAAGAUGAGGUAAGUCGUAACAAGGUAAGUGUACCGGAAGGUGUACUUAGAAUA
rnacentral:ncRNA from 1 species